CUCUUAAAAAUACAUGUCUCUAGAAUAUUUUCUGAGUACUAACAGAAAAAGAAAUGAUAUGUUUGAAUAAUAGAAAAACUGGCACACUGAAUCAAAACUCCUAAAACCACUCUGAUGCCCGGAAGUUUCCCUAUAAAUUUCUGCUAAAGAAAAAUGACAUGAGAGCUGACAUCUGAUUGUGUUAAGAACGAUGGAACACCCUUACCAGUGAUGGGCUAAGGAGUGAAAUGUGCCCUAGCGUGUGCCAAUGAAGUGCCACCAAGGUUCCCCAGAGCUUCUAAGUGGAAGAUAAAAAGAAAAAAGGAAAGUCAAAAAACCACAAAUUGUGUUUACCCUUUUGAUGGGAAUUUUCUCUUACUUGGAUAAAAAAGGAUACUCAUAUGCGAAGAAUAUUACA